rnacentral:rRNA from 1 species
UACAGAGGGGGCAAGCGUUGUUCGGAAUUACUGGGCGUAAAGGGCGCGUAGGCGGCCUGCUAAGUCGAACGUGAAAUCCCUGGGCUCAACCCAGGAACUGCGUCCGAUACUGGUUGGCUUGAAUCCGGGAGAGGGAUGUGGAAUUCCAGGUGUAGCGGUGAAAUGCGUAGAUAUCUGGAGGAACACCGUUGGCGAAGGCGAGCUUCUGGGCUGUCUCUGACGCUGAGGCGCGAAAGCUGGGGGAGCAAACAGG